UGGGCUCUUGAACUUGAGGACAUUUUUGGAAAGUGGUGACAUUUUGGCUUAUCAUCACUUCUUCAAAGAGCUGUUUAAGACUUGGUUUUAGGGUCAAGGAUAAAAUUAGGUUUAGGUUAGAUGUACGAUAGGGAAUAUAUAUUAUGACAAUGUGAUCCUCAUAAGUGAAGAAGUACAAAUGUGUAUUGGUGUGUAUCCAGCUCUAGUGGUCCUAGCUCAUGCUCUUCAGUAGCAGACGGUAGUCACACCAGGCCGUCUAGCUGUUGGCAGAUAGAUGGAGUUUAGCUUCUGAAGUCGUACGUGGCAGCCAUGUUCAUCCCUCAAGCCCAGUGCUCCAUGGCCGUUGCUUAGCAACGUCAUUUUUUUUUUUUUUUCAAGAUAUUCAUAGGAUUUGGCAUCUUAUCAUGGCAAAACAGAUACGGAUUUGUACACAUUGCUGGAAACAUUGUUCAGUCCCUUUGCACUGUGCUGUAGCUGAGGUCCUGAAAUUAAUUAUAGUUGUUUAUUUUUUCUAAAAAACUUUAUGAAGUGUUUUACAAACAAAACACAAUAAACAGAUUAAUGGAAUGUUAAACAGGCAAAGAAGACAACAAACAAAAACAUCAUUGGGUUGGAAUAUGAAUUGUAUUAGCUGAUUAGUCAAGAAACUUAUAAUUGUAUAAUUUUAGAGCUCAAUGUGGUACUUUCUGUCCAAACACUCUGCAUCUUGUGUCCUGGUUGUGUCUCUCUGCUUCUGUCCUCUGAGAGUCUCCAGACUAUUUAUGUAAUCGGGUAAGAACCCCACUCUGCCGUGAAGGACUCUGAGAAGCACAUUGCCUGUUUUUUGGUAGCAUCAGCCAUCUCUAUUGACAGUGCACCCUUGAGCAAGACACCAUCAACUGCAUCUGUGUUUGUCAGUGUGGGACAUCUUGUGGGAGGCUGAGAGGAUGUAACUAUGUGAAAAGAGCACAUAAACGAAGACUAAAACAAUGAUCUUCCUGCAAUGUGUAGCCGGUCCGGGGGUUUGGACUGGAAACCUUUUUAUCACCUCAGCGCCAUCCAGUUUCCAGUCAUCCGGCAGCUCUAUGUGUCUGUAGAUUUUAUCAUGACCUCAGUGAGUCGGGUGGGAUGUUGUCCUCUGUGGAUGCCAUGCCACCCAUAGAUGUCAGUCUGUUGGUCGGUCGGUCUGGUCCACCACAUUCAUCCAGAUGGAAAUCCCUCAACAACUACUGGACGGACUGCCGUGAAAUUUUUUACAGACUUUCCUUGUCCCCAGAGGAUGAAUCAUAAUUACUUUGGUGAUCUUCUGACUUUUAGUUUAGUGCUAUCAUCAGGUCAAAAUAUCAGUUUGUCCAGUACUUUAGUUCAUGACCAAAUACCUGCAAAACUAAUGACAUUCCCAUCAGCCUCAGUAGUGUUUUUUGCUAAUUUGCAAAUGUUACCUACUUAAUAUCAGCGUAUUAGAUGACGACGAUAGAAUUUAGUUCAAAGCACCACUGUGCUUAUGUACAGCCUCACAGAGCCACUAGCAUGGCUGUAGACUCCAAGUCUUUUUUAUUAAAUUAAAACUGAACUUUUAUAGCAGCCAUAUUGAUACAUUUAAUGUUUGGCAGUAUGACACAGGUAAAGAAGCCACCAAUGUUUUUUCUGUCUUGCUUUGGUUUGUUUGUUUUUAUCUGAUCUUUUUUCUUUGUUUGUGUGUCUAAAACACACGCAUACAAACACAGGGGCUGCAAAAGACGAAUUUCAAUUGGAUGGGGGAAGGAUUUCACUGUGGGGGAGGCUAAAUGGAGAAAAAAAGGAAAGGAGCAGGUGUACACAAGGAAUGGUGGUGUGCGUGCGUGUGUGUGUAUGUGUGUGUCUAAAAGGGGCUUCAGAAUAGGAUGAGGUACAAAAAAGGGGGCAGAAAUAUG